CCUUUGCCGGCGACCGGCGCACGGGUGAGUAACACGUAUGCAACCUGCCCUCUUCAGGGGGACAACCUUCCGAAAGGGAGGCUAAUCCCGCGUAUAUCGGUUUCGGGCAUCCGAGAUCGAGGAAAGAUUCAUCGGAAGAGGAUGGGCAUGCGGCGCAUUAGCUAGACGGCGGGGUAACGGCCCACCUAACCGACGAUGCGUAGGGGUUCUGAGAGGAAGGUCCCCCACACUGGUACUGAGACACGGACCAGACUCCUACGGAAGGCAGCAG
rnacentral:rRNA from 1 species